UACGUAGGGUGCGAGCGUUAAUCGGAAUUACUGGGCGUAAAGCGUGCGCAGGCGGUUUUGUAAGCCAGAUGUGAAAUCCCCGGGCUUAACCUGGGAAUGGCAUUUGGGACUGCAAGGCUGGAGUGCGGCAGAGGAGACUGGAAUUCCUGGUGUAGCAGUGAAAUGCGUAGAUAUCAGGAGGAAUACCGAUGGCGAAGGCAGGUCUCUGGGCUGACACUGACGCCCAUGCACGAAAGCGUGGGGAGCAAACAGG
rnacentral:rRNA from 1 species